CCUGCUUAGCUUAACCCUGGUCUGUCCCUUUCUGACUUGGCCCGUGAGAUGUCUAUGUUCUCUUUCCCUCCAUCCAGGGAAGGAGCAAAAGCCCCUUGCCAUCCCUGUGUGACAGCAAUGAGGUGAACCCAGGGGCCGAAGCCCACCCAGGGAGUUGAUGGGUAGCUGGGACGAUGAAAGCAUCCCAAGACCUCCCUUUUCCAUCUGUGGCUGAUCACCUCUGGAACCCACAGCUAGCCGGCUGCUCCUCCACUAUCAGAUGGCGGCUGUCAGUCAUGGGCUUGUCACCGAGUGCAUCCGUCAUGCUCGGGCCAUGGGCCGGCACCUGUGUGUGUGUGUCCAGCUUAACGACAGAGAUUUUUGGAAAGACGCCCUAAGAUAGACAUACUU
rnacentral:lncRNA from 1 species